CCAGCUUGAUACUCGGUUUCUCUUUUGUCAGCCACGUGGAGCCCAACUAUCUCACCCACAUACUCAACAACCUACAAAAACACAGGAUGCGCAUCCAACUGGAUGGGAGAGACAACAAACAUUAAGUGAAAGGCAUUCAUUCCUCGAUGAACUUGAUAUGCAUUAGAUGCAGAUGAGAGCGGGCUGUGCCAAAUACAUGCCAGUGGUUAUACCUUUCUGUUCUCUGUGCUCACCUCUCUCUCUCUCUCUCUCUCUCUCUCUCUAACUAUUUUAUCCCUCUCUCCUUCUCUAACUUCAUUAACAGGCAAAUAGGAUUGCGUGCUAGCUGACUUGCAUUCUGGCAAGCAACCUUUCUGAAUAUGAAUAAUCAAGUAUGUACUUGGAUCUAAACCAGUUAUGGUUCAAGUGUAUGCUAUGUAAAGGACAGUGCACAACUGGAAUUGACU